rnacentral:sRNA from 1 species
AAUUGCCGCAAAUCUGCCAGUCGGAUAGACGCAAGCUGGAGCAGAAAACCAUUUAUAUUCCGUUCCCAGGGAUAUCCAAAUACCUAAUUAUGACCGCCUAUCCCAUUAAUGAGGUGUAGCCAAUCGUUUUGGAACCCCAGUCUUCCCGCACUAUGCAAACCACGUAACCACUCGAAGGCCCUUCACCCUCGCACCUCUCCGCAACCACCAAUCUCCAACCUCCCAAUCAGAUAAAAAUCCAUCCACCACCUCGAACAACAAAUAUUACCAAACAACAACCCUCACAUAAAAAGCACAAGUUCCAUCUCAGACCGCUGCAGCAACAAUGGCCACGUUAGACCCAUCCUCCAUCCUCGCCACCCUCCAAACCUGGUACACUAACCUAACAUCCAAUCUCUCCAACUCCCUCUCCUCCCUGACACUGCGCGACUACAUCCGCCUGGUCUGGAUAAUAGGCGGCUACCUCUUCCUGCGCCCGUACAUAGAUGCGGGGUUCCGCAAGCUCCUCAACACUAACAUGGAUAAAGCCGACGCGGAGGAGAAAGAGCGGGAACGAGCGGAGGUGGAGGCUGCGAAUGCGGGUUCGGCCGGCGCGAAGGCGAAGAUCUCCGCGAAUGCGCUGAGGGGCGCGCUGGGUGUGGGGAGCGAUAGUGAGGAGAACGAGGAGGAAGGAGGAGAAAACGGGAC